GAGUGAACACGUCUCCUUUAGAAUUUUUCUAACAGGAUUUCUUAGUCAGAAAUCCCAA
ensembl:snRNA LOC120093938 U7 small nuclear RNA